UACAGAGGGGGCAAGCGUUGUUCGGAAUUACUGGGCGUAAAGGGCGCGUAGGCGGCCUGCUAAGUCGAACGUGAAAUCCCCGGGCUCAACCCGGGAACUGCGUCCGAUACUGGCGGGCUUGAAUCCUGGAGAGGUGAGUGGAAUUCCGAGUGUAGAGGUGAAAAUUCGUAGAUAUUCGGAAGAACACCAGUGGCGAAGGCGACUCACUGGACAGGUAUUGACGCUGAGGUGCGAAAAGCGUGGGGGAGCAAACAGG
rnacentral:rRNA from 1 species